rnacentral:lncRNA from 1 species
UUUAAUCUCCUUUCUUGCUUCUAAGUUUUACCGAGUAUUGUAAUUGGGUUAUUUCUGUAGGUCCUGCAUAAGUUGAUUGGUUUCCUUUCCUAGAAAUUUUGAUUGAUUGGUUUUUGACUGAAAAAUGCAUUGAACAUUCAUAUGAUCCUGAAGUUAUGAUAAUUGUUACUGAAUAGUCCACGUUAAGAUAUUUGUUUGAAACCUGAGUGGUAUUGAUAAACUCUUAAACUUUUCAACUAAGCCUGUAGUCCAGACCAUGAAUUUAGCCCAUAACUUGAAUGCAAUUGACUAGGGUCAGAUUUGACCAAACCAGGUGGAAACCAAGG